CCUACGGGAGGCAGCAGUCGAGAAUCUUUCACAAUGGGGGAAACGCUGAUGGUGCGACGCCGCGUGGGGGAAUGAAGGUCUUUGGAUUGUAAACUUCUGUUAUGUGGGAGUAAAUUAAUAAGAGAGUACAUCAAGAGGUAUAGACGGCGAACUAGGUUCCAGCAGCCGCGGUAAUGCAGAGGUGGCAAGCGUUGUUCGGAGUCACUGGGCGUAAGGGGUGCGUAGGAUGUUUUGUAAGUCGUGUGUGAAAGGGUCGGGCUCAACCCGUAAACGGCACAUGAAACUGGGAGACUAGAGUAAUGUAGGGGGAAGCGGAAUGCUCGGUGUAGCAGUGAAAUGCGUAGAUAUCGAGAAGAACACUCGUGGCGAAGGCAGGUUCCUGGACAAUAACUGACACUGAGGCACGAAGGCCAGGGGAGCAAACGGGAUUAGAUACCCGGGUAGUC
rnacentral:rRNA from 1 species